UCGCCCGCCCCUUCCUUCCGAUCUAGCUCCCACAUUGCCCGCCCAACUCUAGACUACGCUGAGUGACAGAAACCAAAAUCCGGCACACAAGGAAGGCCCGCGUAAGAAACGACGCCCCACCCUGCCAAGAGGAGCGGCUCAUUUAGAAAAACUUGGCGGCAAGUUAACCGGAAGCGCGGAGACACAUUUCUUAGAUCUUUUGAAGUACUCCCGAGCCCAGUAAUCUCAUCUUUUGUCCUUUGACAGGCCUCUUUAAAGCCCCAACUCUGAGCGCUUUCCGGGCAGCUCUUGACUCGAACUCCAUUGCGGUCCUUCACUGAUGGCAGCCAUGAUACUUGCAUCCGGGUAUUUCGAGGAGUCCCGACCAAAGCCUCCCGGAAGUGACGCGAGCGCGGAGGGAUUCGCGUUCGGCUGAGGCCCAGGAGGAAGAAAUUUUAUGUUUCCUUUAAAGAGAUUAAGACUAGCAGAGGGCAAGUGAUUUGUCAAAGAUCAUACAGCUUGUAUUGGAGUUGGUCGGACCCCUUCAGUUUGGCUGCGGAGCCUGUUUUUAAAUCUCCGUAAUACUUAAUUUUAGCAAAAUCCCAGUCUCUGGUGCUUGCAUCCUGGCAGGCCACUUCAGCAGGGACAUUCACUUUCAGCUCAGCAUUGUUGCCUAUGGAGUAGUGCCAAGUCACCAUGGUCUUUGCUGUGGAUACAGACCAAACUGUGUGCGGGGAUCACCUAAGCUAACCCAGUGUCAUGGGAUCUCACCUGAUCUCCUGUCAUUUGAGUCUGCACAUGAAGGCUUCUUGCUGACUUCGACCACAGGUUUACGGUGGGGAUUGGCACUGACUGUUGGCGCUGGGAAACGUUUUAGCUCCCGUCAGGCACUUGUAAAGUCAAGACUGUUCAGACCACUCGAGGCCUGUCAUCAUCAUCAAAUUGUUCUGGCCUUAAUAAAGGACUGACAACUAUUA